UUAGGUGGAGCUCAGUGGUAGAGCACAUGCUUAGCAGACAUGAGGUCCUGGGUUCAAUCCCCAGUACCUCUA
rnacentral:tRNA from 1 species